AGUUCUACCUGGCGUGGAGGUUACCUUGAUCAAGAAGGAGGUUCCUCCAGGGUGAGGCCCUUUGCACUUAGGUUGGAUUGACCCCUGCCAGUAAUCCACAUGAUUGGUGAAUUUAGAAUAAAC
rnacentral:snRNA from 11 species